UACGGGGGGGGCAAGCGUUGUUCGGAAUUACUGGGCGUAAAGGGCUCGUAGGCGGCCCACUAAGUCGGAUGUGAAAUCCCCAGGCUCAACUUGGGAACUGCAUCCGAUACUGGAUGGCUUGAAUUCGGGAGAGGGAUGCAGAAUUCCAGGUGUAGCGGUGAAAUGCGUAGAUAUCUGGAGGAAUACCGGUGGCGAAGGCGGCAUCCUGGACCGACAUUGACGCUGAGGAGCGAAAGCGAGGGGAGCAAACAGG
rnacentral:rRNA from 1 species